UCUGAAGUAAGGAAGGCUAAACCCUCCAAUC
rnacentral:piRNA from 1 species